GAUGAACGCUGGCGGCGUGCUUAACACAUGCAAGUCGAACGGAAAGGCCAGUGCUUGCACUGGUACUCGAGUGGCGAACGGGUGAGUAACACGUGGGUGAUCUGCCCUGUACUUCGGGAUAAGCUUGGGAAACUGGGUCUAAUACCGGAUAGGACAACUUUUUGGAUAUUGUUGUGGAAAGCUUUUGCGGUAUGGGAUGAGCUCGCGGCCUAUCAGCUUGUUGGUGGGGUAAUGGCCUACCAAGGCGUCGACGGGUAGCCGGCCUGAGAGGGUGUACGGCCACAUUGGGACUGAGAUACGGCCCAGACUCCUACGGGAGGCAGCAGUGGGGAAUAUUGCACAAUGGGCGCAAGCCUGAGGCAGCGACGCCGCGUGGGGGAUGAAGGCCUUCGGGUUGUAAACUCCUUUCGCUAGGGACGAAGCUUUUUUGUGACGGUACCUGGAGAAGAAGCACCGGCUAACUACGUG
rnacentral:rRNA from 1 species